GUUCACUGUGUUUCAUUGCUGUGUGCUGUGGAGCUGCUGUGGCACUGUGGUGCAAACAGAGAAAUACAAUGUGAAGGAAGUCAGGAGAACAGGAAGAACCAUCAACACUCAACCCUCAACAUGAUGACCCUGAAAUCUAGAAGUCUAAUCUAACAGGCCAGCCGUGCUGCCCUGUUCUGAGACAACUACACUUGUGGCUCCUGACCACACUACUGAACAGUAGUCCAGGUGUGACAAAACUAGGGCCUGUAGGACCUGCCUUGUUGAUAGUGUUUUUAUGAAGGCAGAGCAGUGCUUUAUUAUGGACAGACUUCUCCCCAUCUUAGCUACUGUUGUAUCAAUAUGUUUUGACCAUGACAGUUUACAAUCCAUGGUUACUCCAAGCAGUUUAGUCACCUCAACUUGCUCCAUUUAAACAUUAUUCAUUUUGAGAUGUAGUUGAGGUUUAGGGUUUAGUGAAUGAUUUGUCCCAAAUACAAUGCUUUUAGUUUUGGAAAUAUUUAGGACUAACUUAUUCCUUGCCACCAAAUCCAAAACUAACCGCAGCUCUUUGUUAAGUGUUGCAGUCAUUUCAGUUGCUGUAGUAGCUGAUGUGUAUAGUGUUGAGUCAUCUGUAUACACAGACACACUGGCUUUACUUAAACAGCUACCCUGGGAAAUUCCUGAUUCUACCUGGAUUAUGUUUCCAUUAAAGAACACCCUCUGUGUUCUGUUAGACAAGUAACUCUUUAUCCACAUUAUAGCAGGGGGUGUAAAGCCAUAAUACAUAUGUUUUUCCAGCAGCAGACUAUGAUCGAUAAUGUCAAAAGCUGCAAUGAAGUCUAACAAGACAGUCCCCACAAUCAUUUCAUCAUCAAUUUCUCUCAGCCAAUCAUCAUUCAUUUGUGUCAGUGCUGUGCUUGUUGAGUGUCCUGAAAGUCUGUUGUCAAUUUGUUGUCAAUUUGUUUACUGUGAAAUUACACUCUAUCUGGUCAAAAAAAAAUUUACCAGAAGUUUACUAAGGGUUGGUAACAG
rnacentral:lncRNA from 1 species